rnacentral:rRNA from 1 species
ACGAACGCUGGCGGCGUGCUUAACACAUGCAAGUCGAACGGAAAGGCCCUGCUUUUGUGGGGUGCUCGAGUGGCGAACGGGUGAGUAACACGUAAGUAACCUGCCCUUGACUUUGGGAUAACUUCAGGAAACUGGGGCUAAUACCGGAUAGGAGCUCCUGCUGCAUGGUGGGGGUUGGAAAGUUUCGGCGGUUGGGGAUGGAUUCGCGGCUUAUCAGCUUGUUGGUGGGGUAGUGGCUUACCAAGGCUUUGACGGGUAGCCGGCCUGAGAGGGUGACCGGCCACAUUGGGACUGAGAUACGGCCCAGACUCCUACGGGAGGCAGCAGUGGGGAAUAUUGCACAAUGGGCGGAAGCCUGAUGCAGCAACGCCGCGUGCGGGAUGACGGCCUUCGGGUUGUAAACCGCUUUCGCCUGUGACGAAGCGUGAGUGACGGUAAUGGGUAAAGAAGCACCGGCUAACUACGUG